UGGGGAAUAUUGGGCAAUGGGCGCAAGCCUGACCCAGCCACGCCGCGUGAGUGAUGAAGGCCUUCGGGUCGUAAAGCUCUGUGGGGAGGGACGAAAAAACGUUGGCUAAUAUCCAACGGACUGACUGUACCUUCUUAGCAAGCACCGGCUAACUCCGUGCCAGCAGCCGCGGUAAUACGGAGGGUGCAAACGUUGCUCGGAAUCAUUGGGCGUAAAGCGCACGUAGGCGGUUCAGUAUGUCGGGUGUGAAAGCCCUCGGCUUAACCGAGGAAGUGCAUUCGAAACUGCUGGACUUGAAUACUGGAGAGGAUCGCGGAAUUCCCGGUGUAGAGGUGAAAUUCGUAGAUAUCGGGAGGAACACCAGUGGCGAAGGCGGCGAUCUGGACAGAUAUUGACGCUGAGGUGCGAAAGCGUGGGGAGCAAACAG
rnacentral:rRNA from 1 species